rfam:Dipodomys ordii contig_50934, whole genome shotgun sequence.
GGGAAGGUGGCUCAGUGGUAGAGUGCUUGCCUUGCAUGCAUGAGGCCCUGGGUUCGAUUCCUUAGCACCUCA